AUUGAAGUCUAGCGUAGGGCCUAGGACAUGCAAGUCGAACGAGUGGCGGACGGGUGAGUAAUGCCUGGGCAACUGCCUGAUGCCGGGGGAGACCUCCUGGAAACGGUAGCUAGUACCGCAUACACUCACAUGUGCCCAGAUGGGCUUAGCUUGUGGGUGGGGUAACGGCUCACCAAGGCGACGAUCCAUAGCUGGUCUGAGAGGAUGAACAGCAACACGGGAACGGAGACACGGUCCAGGCUCCUACGGUAGGCAGCAGUGGGGAAGAUUGCACAAUGGGCGCAAGCCUGAGGCAGCCAGGCCGCGUGUAUGAAGAAGGCCUUCGGGUUGCAAAGUACUUUCAGCGGGGAGGCGUUACCCGCAGAAGAAGCACCGGCUAACUCCGUGCCAGCAGCCGCGGUAAUAC
rnacentral:rRNA from 1 species